AUUGAACGCUGGCGGCAGGCCUAACACAUGCAAGUCGAACGGUAACAGGAAGAAGCUUGCUUCUUUGCUGACGAGUGGCGGACGGGUGAGUAAUGUCUGGGAAACUGCCUGAUGGAGGGGGAUAACUACUGGAAACGGUAGCUAAUACCGCAUAACGUCGCAAGACCAAAGAGGGGGACCUUCGGGCCUCUUGCCAUCGGAUGUGCCCAGAUGGGAUUAGCUAGUAGGUGGGGUAACGGCUCACCUAGGCGACGAUCCCUAGCUGGUCUGAGAGGAUGACCAGCCACACUGGAACUGAGACACGGUCCAGACUCCUACGGGAGGCAGCAGUGGGGAAUAUUGCACAAUGGGCGCAAGCCUGAUGCAGCCAUGCUGCGUGUAUGAAGAAGGCCUUCGGGUUGUAAAGUACUUUCAGCGGGGAGGAAGGGAGUAAAGUUAAUACCUUUGCUCAUUGACGUUACCCGCAGAAGAAGCACCGGCUAACUCCGUG
rnacentral:rRNA from 1 species